CCUCGAGCCCCACCACGCCUUCUCUCUCUCUCUCAAACUGUCCUGUUCUUUGUUCUCAGCUCGCCACCGCCGUUUUUUCCUCACCCCUGCUUUCCGAUGCCCAUGGCUGCGCCGGCGUAAAACACGAUGGAGCCCGGCGUACAAGCAUGCAUGGUGCCGAGCCGCGCGGCUAGGAUAGCAUGCAGCGGCGGCAUCGAUUUUGUGCCCGUCGGUCGGCGGCGUCAUCUUCUGACAUGGCGCCAUAGGCUUCAGCUGGCCGCCACUGCUGGAAAAGUAGUACGAGGAGGAGGGGGAGGAGGGUACGAGUCUCCUGCAACUGACGGAUUUCUCCGUCCCCCGGAACAUUCCCGCAUCGAGGGGAUGGACCCAAGCGGUGGCGAACAACAAGGGGUGCAGCGCAUCCAUGGAUAGGGCGACGCCGAAGGAUUCUGUCGCCGCUGCCCCUACACCAGGCGCCGGCUCCUCCCUCCCCACCGGUGUAGGCCACCUCGUCGGCAGCUCCGUCCUCACCGGCCCAGCCGCCUAGACGAGAUAAGGUGCUUCUGGCCUCCCCUCCUCUCCCUCUCCCGUCACAUUUUCUAUGCCUUCCAGUACAAUUCCGUUUCCUAUUCACAAAUUAUAUUGUUCUUAAUUUCAGUUAUUUGGUUGCAUAGCUCAUUUUUUUUUACUUGUUGACAGUGCGAUUGGUCGGCUACCUAUGGAUUGUUUGUGGUUUUUGAUUGCUCUGGUUUUACCCCCAAAAAGUAUAAUGCUCUUUUAUUUUGAUUUUCGAAUUGUGUUUGAUGCAAACAUGAGUUUUACUCGUACAGGGAAGAAGUUGAGGGAAGACUUCUUAAAAUAUUGGUGAAGAACAAGGUGAUCUUUUCUUCUUCUGAUAUGUUCUUGCCAUCCAGAUUCUGGUCUUGUUGUUGGCCUGAGUCAUGAGGAGUGUACACGUAGGAAAUAUGAGAAGAGGAAGAAGCAACAAUAGAAAAAUUAUUAAGAAGAACCUGAAGGUUUCAUAUUAGCCUCUUGCUUUGCAUAAUAAACCAUAGUAAGUUCCUUUUGUAGAUCAUGUUGUAGUUUACCCAUCACCCAAAACAAUGUGACAUCAACUGCAGAAUUUUGCCAUUCAUAUUUAAUCUUCAGUAGAGUAUCAAUCAUCCAAGAUGCAUUUUAUGGAUUUAGGUUGAACAUUUUUUUGGUUACUGAAUCUGUUCCAUUGUAGCAAUUGGAUGUGUUCAUAUAUUACUAUCCUAUUACCCAAUAAGUAUGUCUAUGCUUGAUUUGUAUGCAUUCUGUUAAUUCUCAUGAUUAUUUUAAUUUAUCUUUGAGAGCAGAAAGUAAUUAUUGAACAGAAGUACAAUAUUUGUUCCCCUUUUGCUGUUUUGCACUCUGGAGCAAAAUAUAUGGGGGCAGUCCUCAUGAGCAUUUUCUACUUUCUAAGAUUUGGGCGAAAGUAAAAGCAAAGAAUCAAAGAUGUUCAUCUAUCUGAACGUCACCUUACUUUGAUGCUCUGAUCUCAAGGAAGUAUUGUGCUGUGGUGGUGGUCUGCUAUCAAAACCAAAGUGGCAUGCAUGUACAAAUAGUGCAUCUGCUAGGAUAUGUACAACAAUCGAGCGAGCAUUGAGCCAACCAUCGACACGUAAAGCAUCUUUUGUGUGCAUCGGCCGGUGUUUGUGUUGCUUCUGAAUUUUUUUCAUGUGUGCAUCUUUUGUCUAUAUAAAUUGUAAAGCACGUGUGUUAGCUUAGUUAAGGUGUUUGGUCCAUCUUUCCAUACAAACUUCUUUCAUGUAAGAAUCAUGGUCUAUGUAAACUACAUAAGCCGAUGUCUGGUAUUUCAUGGAAUCCAAAACUGAAUGCAAGUGUAUGUUCUGUUCA